CCUACGGGAGGCUGCAGUGGGGAAUAUUGCACAAUGGGCGAAAGCCUGAUGCAGCAACGCCGCGUGAGCGAUGAAGGCCUUCGGGUCGUAAAGCCCUGUCCUCAAGGAAGAUAAUGACGGUACUUGAGGAGGAAGCCCCGGCUAACUACGUGCCAGCAGCCGCGGUAAUACGUAGGGGGCUAGCGUUAUCCGGAAUUACUGGGUGAAAGGGGUGCGUAGGCGGUUUCUUAAGUCAGAGGUGAAAGGCUAGGGCUCACCCGUAGGAAGCCUUUGAAACUGGGUAACUUGAGUGCAGGAGAGGCGGGUGGAAUUCCUAGUGUAGCGGUGAAAUGCGUAGAUAUUAGGAGGAACACCAGUUGCGAAGGCGGCCUUCUGGACUGUAACUGACGCUGAGGCACGAAAGCGUGGGGAGCAAACAGGAUUAGAUACCCCAGUAGUC
rnacentral:rRNA from 1 species